rnacentral:rRNA from 1 species
GACGAACGCUGGCGGCGUGCUUAACACAUGCAAGUCGAACGGAAAGGCCCUGCUUUUGUGGGGUGCUCGAGUGGCGAACGGGUGAGUAACACGUGAGUAACCUGCCCUUGACUUUGGGAUAACUUCAGGAAACUGGGGCGAAUCCCGGAUAGGAGCUCCUGCUGCAUGGUGGGGGUUGGAAAGUUUCGGCGGUUGGGGAUGGUCUCGCGGGUUGUCAGCUUGUUGGUGGGGUAGUGGCUUACGUAGGCUUUGAAGGGUAGCCGGCCUGAGAGGGUGACCGGCCCCAUGGCGCCUACGACACGGCGCAGAAGCGUACGGUAGGCAGCAGUGGGGAAUAUUGUACAGCGGGCCGGAGCCGGAUGCGGUGGCGCCCCGUGCGUGAUGACCGUCUUCGGGCAGUGAACCGCUUCCGCCUGGGACGCAGCUGGAUUGACGGUAACGGGUAAAGAAGCACCGGCUAACUACGUG